CGGGCAGGGGCCAUGGGCCGGCGGGGCGGAGGCGCCGGCCGCGCGCGCCUCCCACGGAAGCCGGGCGGCUGGGACAGGGCACUGUGUGGGGAGGUGCCGCGACCUGAGCCGCUGGCGGCAUUAUUUAACUUAGAGAAGGGGUGCAGGGGCGUCAGCACCACAUCCUCCUGGACAGCGGACCCUCCGCUUCCGGUUCCUGGGUUCAGGUUCCGCUUGUGUCCCCGUCCUGUAGUUCCGUGCAUGUAGGGAGGGGAGGGCGAGACUUUGGUUCCGGAAGCAGCUGGGGGGUCAGAGUUCUCCGCACCUGUUUUGGCUGCGUGACAUGGGUUUUGGUCUGUUGUCUCUGAAAAGCAACUCAGUGUCUCCAUACGCGGGACAGGGCCAUUUUGAGGUGGUUCUGAGGUUACACAGCUCUCUCCUUCUUACCCCUUCGCUUUUUUUGGUUUGUUUUUGUUUUUAAACCAUGUCUUUUGUCUGUACCCACAGUGUGGAAUUUGCAGAUGGCAUCGCCACGGUGUUUGCAUUUCGUGUACAUUGGUAGUUCUAUAGAGAAGUGUGAUUGGACUCAGGUCCUCGUUUUGUUUGGAAGGAAUACGUCAGAGAUGGUGGGUGUAUUUCCAGAGGAGCACAGUGUCUGCUUGUGUCCUGCUAGCCGCAGACAGUCAUUGCUGGGGCUCACCGAUUGCUUAUGUCAGAGCAGUAACAUUUACUAUAGUGUCCCAUGAAUACACAGUAGACUGAAGCACUGAGAACCGUAAUUGCUUGAACGUGGUAUAAAACAGGAAUGGAAAGCUUAUGUGCGUGAUUUAAUGCUUAGAUGUGGAGCAUACCUUUGCUGUCCUUGUCCACUAAGAUGUUGUGCAGUUACUUCGCUGCACAUUCUAAUGGCUUAUCUCCCUCACCCUCCAGCGAGAAUGGGAGUUAGUUCCAUUUUCAUCCUUGACCUGGAAAUAUUUGUUGCUACUCCUGUAAAUUUGGGUUUCGUGGAAUCUGUGCCCCACAGCUUAGCCGUGGUAUGACCUCCCUGCCCCAAGUUGCCUCCCAGGUAGAGAAAUGUGGCAGGGAAACCGCCACACAGGCUCCUGUGGGGCCAGAUUGGAUCACCAAAUGCGAUAGGCUUAUCAAGGACUUCACACGAUGCCCAACUCGACAGUCAAUAUUGUACAUUAGAGAUGCCAUGCUCUCCAGAGCUUAACCCUGCUAAAUGGAGGAGAACCUAGAGUAGAGAAUGGAGAGUCACUCUGGCUAUAUCCCUUGAGUAGGCCACUGGGAAUAGUACCGAUGAAUCAUAUGUGCUGAUUGUAAAUGACACACCACGUCCCCCUAGCAGAGCUGGCCAUCUGUGGGUGUGCGGCGGAAGCUCAGCACCAAAGUGGGAGCGGCCAGCAGCUCCCUGAAGGACUGUCAUUCCAGAAAAAAGAACAGGGAUGUGGGGCUGAAGCUGCAAAAUCUCGUGAAAGCUGCCUUCCUGGGGGUGGGGCCAGCCUGCUGCUCCAGGGGUGAGGGAGGGGGUGCCAGCCAGUAGAGGCAACCAGUCCACCAUCACAAUCCUUUCCCCGUGAGCGAGCGUCAUCUGAGGUCACCCCUUAAUCCCCCAGUUCACAGAGAAGGCAUGAUGUUAGGUUCUUGACUUGGAUUAUUUGAUCUCAUCCUCCCAACAACCCUGGAAGGCAGAGCUGAAUGUGGCAUCAUGAGCCUGAGCCCACAGCAAGGACAGCAGGAGCCCCCCAGGCAGUUACCCAGGCCCUGGCCCUGGGCUGUGGGAUGGGCAGCACCCAGGGGCUCUGGGUGGCAGGGAGGAGGUUUGACCACUGGCUAUUCAGCUGCCAGUCAGCUCUGUGGAGGCCUUUCCUGCCGCCCAGCAGGGUCAGGGCCCUCCCCUACCUAGAGGUUCUCUUCUGGAGAGAACACUGGUCUUUGGCCCAGAGGACACAAGGUCAGGGUGAAGGUCAGAGUGCCCUCUGGUGAAGAUGGCCCCCGGCUCGCUUUCCCCUUCCCUCUGUCACCUGCAGCAGGAGACUGGGCAUCGGCUGGGCGGGCGCUGGUGGACUCCGGAAACAGGCCCAGUGUUUCCCCGGUGAAAAGAUCCAGCCACGUCAACCCUGUGGGCAGGAAUUCCCCAUGAGCUCCAGUCCCCACCACACAGCUCUGCGAGGCCUUGGGCAGCCCUGAGCUAACUAGCAGACCCUCUGACAUGAGAGACUAAAGCCAGCAAACAGGACAAAGCAACUCAGACAAACCCAGCUAACCAGUGAGCUGAGCAUGGCUGGAGGAACACCACAGCCCACCCACUGGUCUCCCUAUGUCCACAACCACGUGGGCCUGGAUGCCAUCAUGCAGGCACCCCCGUGUCCAGACCAGCCUUCCUGGGGUGACCAGAGGAACCAGGGACCCACGGGCAAGUUCCCCUGAUGUGUGGGGUCCCCGGGGCAGCAGCACCAGCAUCACCCUGGACUUGGCAGGAGACACCCCCAGGCCCCACCUAGACCUACUGGAUCCGGCCGGCCCAGAAACCCGUUUCCACGAGCCUCCCAGUGACUGCUGCGCAGCUGGCAUUUGAGAGCCGCUCAUCACCCUCCGCCCUUCUCCUGGCGAUCUUCACACUCUCUCUUCUCACUUCCAGUCCCCACACCUCCUCCUCCAUUUUCACUCAGCAGAUGCUGCCCCGCUGAGAACACUGAAGAAAUCAGACUUCCACCUCGCCCACCACCCCCUCUGCGCCCACAGCGUCUGCGCCCAUCUGUGAGCCAGAGACGUGGAAUGCGGGCUCCCAGCUCCGCGCCCCGCUGGUCUGGGCCUGGGCACCAGCUCCCCCUCCUGUUCCCCCUUUCUGUGCCACGUCACGUUUCAAACACUGCCCUUUGGGUCCUGCCCAUGGAUUCACAAACGCGCUGUUAAUUUUUUGAACUUAAAAAAAGUAUAUUCUUGAUCCCCUUUCUCUCGCAUGGCCAAUUCUUUCCUCUCCGGAAGAGCCGAUCACUCUUCUCCCCGCCCCGCCACCCCCCUCCCCUUCCUCCCUCAUGGCUUCCAGGAGAGCACAGCCCCCGCCCCAGGGGCUGCGCUUCCUCUCCUCUCAGCCCCCUAAUGCUGCUGGGCUGUCUGUGGCCCCUUCCCUGUUGUGCACCCUCACUGCCCAGAGCGCUUCAAAGACAUCAAUAUGCAGUCCACUCCAAAAUGACAUGUGUCUGGCCCUGACCGUGCCUGAUGCUAAGCCUGACGCUCACUGUACCUGACCCUGACUGUGCCUGACCCUGACCGUGCCUGAUGCUAAGCCUGACGCUCACUGUACCUGACCCUGACCCUGGCCCACGCCACGUCCCCUCCAUGGGGGCCUGAGCUACAAUGGCUGGUAAGCGGUCACUGGGCCGCACACUGCGCACUGCUGACACCAGUGGGAAGGAGGGAGGUGUCAGUCCUCCCGGCCAGGAGCAAACCUGUAAGUACAAGCUCCUCGUUUAUUCUGCAGGCACUUUACCUGUCCCUCACGUGUUAGCCCGAAAGAAGCCCUUGUCACACAUGGAGGAUUCGCAGGUGACCAAGCAUCACCCUCAUUGCUUGGGGACAUGUGGCCAGGAUGCGCCCCUCUGGCUGGGACACCCUGUCCUGGGGCCUGGGGGUGACAGGGUGCUGGCUGCCCAGGAAGCCCCUUAAAAACAACCCUGAGGACUUGUGUCCCGGGAAGUCACCAGCCCCACGUGAGGGAACAGUCGUGACUUGGAAACAGCGUGUGUGGCGAAGGCUCCUGAGCCGUCAUUCCCAUCAGGCCAGCCCGGCGGCGCUCAGCAGCGCCAGGAUUCCCCGCGACCGCCUUCCGCACGGACUCCUUCACGAGGGCGCAGAGGGGGCUGCUGGCGUCCAGACAUGGACCAGGCCUCAGAGGCCUCGCGUGUCCCCCUGACCCCGCCUCAGCUCGCAAGGUGAGACGUUCCAGACCAGCCGUCCCAGGAGGGAAAGCCCUUCUACACUGAACCCCGCGGGGCAGGACUGGGGCGCGUACGCUCACCCAGAGCAGCGCCCGUUUUACACGAGCGUGUCCGCCAGGCUCUCGCUGGAUCACGUUUCCCGUGUGGAUAAGUGAAGACCAGUCCUUUCACGUGUCAUCAACGUGACCUUGUCAUCACCCAACUGGUCAAAGCACAGGAAGGUACCGAUCCCGAGCGGAUGCCUUGAUCACGGACCAGGUUUGAUGUAGUUUAAUCGCAGGGACACGGAACAGAGACCUGCCUGGACCUUUAUUCACUGAACUUCAAGCCACGCACUUAACGCGAUGGACAGGGGAGCCGUCUGCUUUAGUAACGCACCAGGCCCAGGACUGCGGACGCUUGGGGCCCUGACGCACAGCGGUCACAGGAAGGUUCACCUGGCCGGCCGCCCGUCCCGAGGCCACUCCGCUGAGGACCGGCCCGGAGAGCGAGGCGCCCGGCUUCGCAAACCACCAGGGCGAGCCCGGGCCGGUGGCUCAGUGGUUGGAGCGUCAGCCCUGUACACCCAAAGGCUGCGAGUUCGAGUCCUCGUCAGGGCACAUAUGGGAGGCAAUCUCUCUCCUCUACUCUCUCUCUAAAACCAGAAAAACA